UUAGUCAUGACCCUAUCACGGGCAAUGAGAUGAAGUUCCAUCAUAUGUGGAGCAAAAUUCACCAUCCUUAUAAAUACAAUAUUAUAAAUAGUCAAAGAUUGAACCAUACAAUCACCAUCCUUAUAAAAUAUAAAGUACCAAUGUACAUCAGUAGAGUUCAAUAACUUUAGUUGCCCUUACUAUACAAAACUAUGAAAUGCCAAAUAUUCAAUAAGU
rnacentral:lncRNA from 1 species